ensembl:lncRNA
GUUAGGGCUAGGCAUUAGGGUUAGCAGUGUGGUUAAGGUUAGGGUUAGGCAUUAGGGUUAGCAGUGUGGUUAAGGUUAGGGUUAGGCAUUAGGGUUAGCAGUGUGGUUAAGGUUAGGGUUAGGCAUUAGGGUUAGCAGUGUGGUUAAGGUUAGGGUUAGCAGUGUGGUUAAGUUAGGGUUAGGGUUAGGCAUUAGGGUUAGCAGUGUGGUUAAGGUUAGGCUUAGCAGUGUGGUUAAGUUAGGGUUAGGGUUAGGCAUUAGGGUUAGCAGUGUGGUUAAGGUUAGGGUUGGGCAUUAGGGUUAGCAGUGUGGUUAAGGUUAGGCAUUAGGGUUAGCAGUGUGG